UUUUGGACGCAUUGCGGUCAUUUUGAACCAUGUUUUGUAUCAUCCAUUCUAUAAAUCCUACUUUCAGCUUUUUUACCGGGCAAGGGUCGGGUCCUUCUUUAUUUGAGGAAGUGGAGCUGGGAAGGAAGAUUGCGACUGUUGGCUUAUCAACAGCCCUGUCCUGCAGUUCAUGAAUAUUUGACCAAACUUGAUGUGUGCGUGCGUGUGUGUGUGAGAGUGUGUUGAGGUUAGUUACCUUCGCAACCGGUUGAAAACCAUAUUGGCGAGCAUAACUCAGCAACAUAACAAUUAUUCAGCUUUAUUCCAUUUUGCUACGUGUAGAGUGUGUACCAUAGUUCACAACCUAAUAUCAGUCUAUUUAGAUCUGAUAUUAGGUUGUGAACCAUGGUACACAAAGACAAUUGUGACUGAGAUGGGAAGCCAUUGCAAUACCUUUACUUUAGAAACUACAGUUAGAUAUAAGGACAGACUUAAAAGAAGUAAAAUUAGUAUCAAUAUAUUAAAACACAGUAUACGUGUCACGUACAAUGUAUAAUGUGUCUAGAUAGUUUGUGUUCCCCCAUUUAGCUUCCAAUGUUUUUUUUUUCAAACUCAUUAUAAUAUGAAACAACAAAUUAAUAACUAACCCCUAAAUAUAUGAGCUGACAGAGACGACAGGGUCAAAUUACUUUAGAAAGUUACAUUGUUUACAUUUUUCAGCCGAACAGCAUAUAUAUUAGAAGUUUACUGAUUAGCUUAGAGCGCAUUGUCUUCUUUGUCGUGAUUGGACGGCUGAAAGUUGUUUACAAAUCAAGUAGGUUAAUCCGAUUGUCGUUGAAAUAUCUGAAAUAAAAAACGGAUUGACCUGCAUGACAUCGGGCCUGAAAUAUUAUUGAAUAACGCAAAAGUCAUGCUAGCAUUCAUUAUGCUAUUUACGUGUCAUGUGUUGAUUCCGGAUAUUCUGUAUAUUUGGAAAUAUUUCUUUUUAUUAAACAUACUAUGUGAUAAUGUCACUGUUGCCUUACCUGUGUCAGUUGUUUAGAAUCAUUAUAGUAAACUGGAGAAAUGUUCUGGAUAAAAAAUAUGGAAUAAAUACCACUCCAAUCUUGCGGAAAAAAGAUAAAAUGUGUCAAAAUCAAAUAAUUUGAAAUAGAGAUUACAACUAUAUAUGGAUGUUUCAGAUGUGCUUAUACCUAGUGCCUUGAAUGGUCAAAUAAACAAAAUUAAAACAGAAAGGGUGAAACGGUUGCAAUUUUAUGGAAAAUCUAAAUAGCAAGAAAAUAUUUUUUUCUGCUAAUGUGGAAAGAACAAAGAAACAUAUAAACAACUGAAAAGAGCUAUAACACAGAAGGCUAAAUGACAGAUAAGAAAUUAAUAGACUGUGUAACUUGUAUGGCAAAAUAGCAAUAUUUACCAAACACAUAUGACAGAAAAGGCUACAUUAAACAUUUGGAAUUUUGACAAUGUAAACAAUUUAAAGUAGAGAUAACAACUAUAUAUGAGUAUCCUGGGGUAUUUUCUUUUAGUUGGAAUUUUAGUUAAUAUUUCGAAAGGUCAAAAAAGCAACAAAAAUAAACAAUAUCUUAAAAAAUGUAAGACAGAUUUUAUGAAAAUUGCAAUUCAUAGGAAAAUAAGAUAUUGUUCGCAUAAGUGAAAGUGAUAAUGUUUUUGAGAAAAAUUUGUAUUUUAGAGAAGCAUUCUUUAGAUAGAAUACGAAUUUGACAUUUUCAUGGAAAAUACCAAAAUCAUGUAUGUAAGAAAAUGAUAAUGAACUAGGUAUUUUGGCAAUAAGUCAGCAAUAUAAAACAGAGAAUGCAUAUAUAUAGUAAUGUUCUAUGAUACUUUCUUUUAUAGGGGUAUAUAGUUAUUGAUUUGAAUGGUCAAACACACAAAAAAUAUGAAAAUGUCAAACUGCCAAGAUUGUAUGCAAACUUUACAGGAAAAUGAGCUUGGUUUUAUUGUUCAAUGGUAGAAGUUUACAAUUGUAAAAAGUCCAAUAUGAUUUCCCGGAUGCUCUUUUGAAUGGUGGAGGGUCAAUAUAUGUGUUUUUUAUGGAAAUGAAAAAGAAAAGAACCUUUUCAUUCUUCACAUUUUCUUCAAUUUUUUCAAUCAAAUUUCCUCAUAACAUUCCUUAACAAUAAGUGUUUCUGUUGAUAUUAUGUUUAUUAGAUUAUGUGAUCUUUUGCAAAAUUUUCCGACACGAAAAUCGGUAAAUUUGUAGUUCUAAAAAUCUUUUCAUUUUUUCACAUUUUUUAUAUUAUGUUUUUUUUGUUUUUGUUUUUUUUUUUGCAUUCAAUCAUUUCGUUAUUAUUCUACUUGUUCAUAUAAAGAAUCUUUUUGUAAAUCAUUAUUAUAUACUUGUAAUCUCUCAUAUAAAGUUCCUAUAUUUGACAAAAUCUUUUAAACAAUCAUAAUACAAUGUAGUGCAUUUCUUAUCUAAAAGUUGCAUCUUUUCAAAGAAAUCUUUGCAAUCUAUUCCUUAUUUGUGUGUCUUACAUAUGCCAGCUUAUUAUUUGCGCUCUUAUAUGUACAAAUACUGAUUCUUCUUCAAAAACGUGCAUGCAUCUAGCCUUUCCUCUAACAUUUUGUAUUGUUAUUAGAUGGUUGUCACAUGUUUGGAGAGUAUACUAAUUUUCAGAUGAAUAAAAAGAUAAUUAAAAUAGAAAACAUAUAAUAGAUUUAUAAAACAGA